GACGAACGCUGGCGGCGUGCCUAACACAUGCAAGUCGAACGGGGUUACGGAAGCUUGCUUCUGUAACUUAGUGGCGAACGGGUGAGUAACGCGUGAGGAACCUGCCUUUCAGUGGGGGACAACAGUUGGAAACGACUGCUAAUACCGCAUAAUGUUAUCGAGUGGCAUCACUUGAUAACCAAAGCUUUAUGUGCUGAAAGAUGGCCUCGCGUCUGAUUAGAUAGUUGGUGGGGUAACGGCCUACCAAGGCAACGAUCAGUAGCCGGUCUGAGAGGAUGAACGGCCACAUUGGGACUGAGAUACGGCCCAGACUCCUACGGGAGGAAGCAGUGGGGAAUAUUGGGCAAUGGGGGAAACCCUGACCCAGCAACGCCGCGUGAAGGAAGAAGGCCUUCGGGUUGUAAACUUCUUUUACCAGGGACGAAGAACGUGACGGUACCUGGAGAAAAAGCAACGGCUAACUACGUGCCAGCCGCCGCGGUAAAAC
rnacentral:rRNA from 1 species